rnacentral:SRP_RNA from 1 species
GGGUGGGUCCGGCGCGGCAGAAACCUGCGAACCCCGUCAGGUCCGAGAGGAAGCAGCGGUAAGUGGGUCCCUCUGGGUGCCGCCGGGUAGCCUGCCCGGA